rnacentral:rRNA from 1 species
CCUACGGGAGGCAGCAGUGGGGAAUAUUGCACAAUGGGCGCAAGCCUGAUGCAGCGACGCCGCGUGAGGGAUGACGGCCUUCGGGUUGUAAACCUCUUUCAGUAGGGAAGAGGCGAAAGUGACGGUACCUGCAGAAGAAGCGCCGGCUAACUACGUGCCAGCAGCCGCGGUAAUACGUAGGGCGCAAGCGUUAUCCGGAAUUAUUGGGCGUAAAGAGCUCGUAGGCGGUUUGUCGCGUCUGCCGUGAAAGUCCGGGGCUCAACUCCGGAUCUGCGGUGGGUACGGGCAGACUAGAGUGAUGUAGGGGAGACUGGAAUUCCUGGUGUAGCGGUGAAAUGCGCAGAUAUCAGGAGGAACACCGAUGGCGAAGGCAGGUCUCUGGGCAUUAACUGACGCUGAGGAGCGAAAGCAUGGGGAGCGAACAGGAUUAGAUACCCUGGUAGUCCAUGCCGUAAACGUUGGGCACUAGGUGUGGGGGACAUUCCACGUUUUCCGCGCCGUAGCUAACGCAUUAAGUGCCCCGCCUGGGGAGGUACGGCCGCGAGACGAAACACAAGAAGUAGAGCGNGAGAGUGCGAGACGACGACGAGGAGAGG